rnacentral:lncRNA from 1 species
GGGGGGGGGGGGUUCUGAUUUAAAUUAAUGUAGCCUGUACCGCUGUCGUAAGUUUGACUUCCGCUUAAAUAUGUUACAAAAAAGGAAUGCUCGGUUUGUAUGUGAUCAGGAUUAUCCUUAUAUAUAACCUGCAAAAACGAAUCCUUGUGUCUAUUGAUAACAAAACUCUUCCCAUGAAAAGGGGAGCUAUUUCUUCCCUUGUCUUAAUCCACAUUCAUGUGUAUUUGGACUAGUUAAUGCUUCUAGCUUCGAUAUACUAAUUUUUUAUACAAAAAACUAUUUAAAGUUACUUUAUUUUUAUUGUUUUUUUUUUAUUUCAAGAAAUGGCAUACUGUCAGAUCCCCUUUAAUGUUCGGGUUUGGUUUAAGAUAGAUUUCAUCCAUUUAUUUGGUACAUG